rnacentral:rRNA from 1 species
ACGAACGCUGGCGGCAUGCCUAACACAUGCAAGUCGAACGAAGGCUUCGGCCUUAGUGGCGCACGGGUGCGUAACGCGUGGGAACCUGCCCCUCGGUUCGGAAUAACACAGAGAAAUUUGUGCUAAUACCGGAUGAUGACUUCGGUCCAAAGAUUUAUCGCCGAGGGAUGGGCCCGCGUAGGAUUAGCUUGUUGGUGGGGUAAUGGCCUACCAAGGCGACGAUCCUUAGCUGGUCUGAGAGGAUGAUCAGCCACACUGGGACUGAGACACGGCCCAGACUCCUACGGGAGGCAGCAGUGGGGAAUAUUGGACAAUGGGCGAAAGCCUGAUCCAGCAAUGCCGCGUGAGUGAUGAAGGCCUUAGGGUUGUAAAGCUCUUUUACCCGGGAUGAUAAUGACAGUACCGGGAGAAUAAGCUCCGGCUAACUCCGU